GAUGAAGAACGUAGCGAAAUGCGAUAAGUAAUGUGAAUUGCAGAAUUCAGUGAAUCAUCGAAUCUUUGAACGCACAUUGCGCCCCCUGGUAUUCCGGGGGGCAUGCCUGUCCGAGCGUCAUUACAACCCUCAAGCUCAGCUUGGUGUUGGGCCCCGCCGCCCCGGCGGGCCCUAAAGUCAGUGGCGGUGCCGUCCGGCUCCGAGCGUAGUAAUUCUUCUCGCUCUGGAGGUCCGGUCGUGUGCUCGCCAGCAACCCCCAGUUUUUUUCAGGUUGACCUCGGAUCAGGUAGGGAUACCCGCUGAACUUAAGCAUAUCAAUAAGCGGAGGA
rnacentral:misc_RNA from 1 species